AUGCGCGCCCCAUCACUCGGACGCUGCGCCACCGUGGCACUCGUCCUGCUCCUCGCCACAAUAGCGGCUGCGGCCGCGGCAGCACGGACGAAGAACGAAUGCCACGCCGGCGACAAGGCCGCGCUGCUGGCCAUCAAGGCAGGCUUCGGCAACGCCUCCUACUUCCAGUCAUGGACUCCGGACUACCCCUGCUGCGAGUGGAUCAGCGUCUUCUGCGACCUCUCCGCCUCCCCCUACACCUUACGCCGCGUGGUGGCCGUCUCCUUCCUCCGCGACGCCAGCCUCGUCGGGCCCUUGCCCGGCGCCUCCGUCGCCCGCCUCACCGCGCUGCAGCAGCUCAUCCUCAUCCACGUGCCGGGCGUGAACGGCACUAUCCCGCGCGACCUCGCCCGGCUUUCCAACCUCAACUUCGUCGACGUCUCCUACACGGGCAUCUCCGGCCCCGUGCCCUCGUUCCUGUCGAGGCUCACCAAGCUCACCUACCUCAGGCUCUCCUUCAACUCGCUCACGGGCCCCAUCCCGGCGUCGCUCGCCGACGUCCCCAACCUCUCCUUCCUCGACCUCGCCGGCAACCGCCUCACGGGAACCAUACCGCCUCUCCUCCUCAGCAGGACCAACGACACGGCCUACCUCAGCCUCUCCCAUAACAACCUCACCGGCGGCGUCCCCGCCGACUUCGCCGCCGUGAGGUUCUCGAGCCUCGACUUGUCGCACAACGCCCUCGCCGGCGAGGCCUUGCUCCUGUUCGGCCUGAACAAGUCGCUGGAGAGCCUGGACCUGUCGCGCAAUGCCUUCAGCUUCAACCUCUCUGCCGUGACGCUGCCAUCGCAGCUCGGCAUGUUGGACAUCAGCCACGACGACGUCUACGGUGCGCUCCCCCCGUUGGUGGCCAAACUGCAGUAUUUGAACGUCAGCUACAACCGCCUCAGCGGCAGAGUGCCCAUCGGCGGCAACAUGGAUCGGUUUGAUCGGUACUGCUUCCAGCACAACAAGGGACUCUGUGGGACUCCACUUCCACCCUGCAAGUGA
rnacentral:rRNA from 1 species